AGUGAACGCUGGCGGUAGGCCUAACACAUGCAAGUCGAACGGCAGCACAGGAGAGCUUGCUCUCUGGGUGGCGAGUGGCGGACGGGUGAGGAAUACAUCGGAAUCUACUCUGUCGUGGGGGAUAACGUAGGGAAACUUACGCCAAUACCGCAUACGACCUACGGGUGAAAGCAGGGGACCUUCGGGCCUUGCGCGAUUGAAUGAGCCGAUGUCGGAUUAGCUAGUUGGUGGGGUAAAGGCCCACCAAGGCGACGAUCCGUAGCUGGUCUGAGAGGAAGAGCAGCCACACGGGAACUGAGACACGGUCCAGACUCCUACGGGAGGCAGCAGUGGGGAAUAUUGGACAAUGGGCGCAAGCCUGAUCCAGCCAUACCGCGUGGGUGAAGAAGGCCUUCGGGUUGUAAAGCCCUUUUGUUGGGAAAGAAAUCCAGCUGGCUAAUACCCGGUUGGGAUGACGGUACCCAAAGAAUAAGCACCGGCUAACUUCGUGCCAGCAGCCGCCGUAA
rnacentral:rRNA from 1 species